rnacentral:rRNA from 1 species
UACGGAGGGUGCGAGCGUUGUCCGGAAUCACUGGGCGUAAAGGGCGCGUAGGUGGCGCGGGAAGUCAACGGUGAAAGUUCGGGGCUCAACCCUGAAUCGGCCGUCGAUACUCCCGGGCUCGAGCACUGUAGAGGCAGAUGGAAUUCCGGGUGUAGCGGUGGAAUGCGUAGAGAUCCGGAAGAACACCGGUGGCGAAGGCGGGUCUCUGGGCCGUUACUGACGCUGAGGAGCGAAAGCGUGGGGAGCGAACAGG